rnacentral:rRNA from 1 species
UACGAAGGGGGCUAGCGUUGUUCGGAAUUACUGGGCGUAAAGCGCGCGCAGGCGGUCUUCCAAGUCAGUGGUGAAAGCCCGGAGCUCAACUCCGGAACUGCCAUUGAAACUGUGAGACUUGAGUACGAGAGAGGUGAGUGGAAUUCCCAGUGUAGAGGUGAAAUUCGUAGAUAUUGGGAAGAACACCAGUGGCGAAGGCGGCCCUCUGGGCCGGGCCUGACGCUGAGACGCGAGGGCGUGGGGAGCGAACGGG